AAGGCCUGAUGUGUGUGAGAUUACCCGCUGAAUUUAAGCAUAUAAGUAAGCGGAGGAAAAGAAACUAACUAGGAUUCCCUUAGUAAUGGCGAAUGAACAGGGAUCAGCUCAGUGCCAAAUCGGAAUCACUUGUGGUUCUGAAAUGUGGCUUGAAGGCAGUACCAGUGGCAUCGCGGACGAAAGUCUCUUGGAAAAGAGCGUCAUAGAGGGUGAGAAUCCCGUGAGUCGUUCGCCGUUUGUCACGUACGGUCUGCGUUCUAACGAGUCGCGUUCCUUGGGAUUGGAGCGUAAACGGGUGGUAAAUUUCAUCCAAAGCAAAAUAUAUACUCGAGACCGAUAGCACAAAAGUACCGUGAGGGAAAGGUGAAAAGAACUUUGAGAAGAGGGUUAAAUAGUGCCUGAAAUCGUUGAGAAGGAAGCGGAUGCCGCCGUUGCAUAUGCUGAUUGUAGGAUUGCUGCUCGCUCCUGUCUUCUGCUACUCAUUCACAGACCUGGUCGUGUUGAGCAGUUGUUUGGCAGAUGUUAGUGGUGUUUCCUACUCUCAGUCGUCAGCAUCACUGGCUGAGUGGAAAUAAUCCUUGGAUGCUAAUUGGUUCGCUAUCUGUGAAUUGGUUGCUUCCUUGCGAUACUCACUACUCGGUCAGUGAGGAAGUGCGUUUGCUGGUCAACGAGCUUUCUAACUGUCAUUACCCUGCGCUUUUCGAUUCGUCGAGUGGCCAGGAUGUGGCUUUGAGAUUGUUCGCACUUAGUAAUCGCGAUGCUGGCUUCCAACGGUUGCCUCCGGCCCGUCUUGAAACACGGACCAAGGAGUCUAACGUAUGUGCGAGUGUGUGAGUGGCAAACUUAUACGCGUAAUGAAAGUGAGGCCGUAUGGCCAUGUUGGGGUCACCACAACCGACCUUGAUCUUCGGUGAAAGGUUUGAGUAUGAGCAUAUCCGUUAGGACCCGAAAGAUGGUGAACUAUGCCUGAGCAGGGUGAGCCAGGGAAACUCUGGUGGAGCUCGUAGCGAUACUGACGUGCAAAUCGU
rnacentral:ncRNA from 1 species